UUUACAGAGAAUCCUGCAGCUGUUUAUAAAAGCAAGUUGGAGGAAAGCUCUUCAUUUCCUACCUGACAUCAUGAAAAAACAUUCCACGGUAGCAGAGGC